AUGUUAUUUCCUCUUUUAUUCUCACCUGCAGCCUUGCAGCACACUGGGGCUUCGAAAAAAGCGACAGGAGAGCUUAUUUUCUUUUGUUUAUUUUUUUUUUUUUUUUUACAAAGUUGGGUUUUUCCUGAACACAUAGUCACUCUUCAGCCUAAAUACACACGUGUAUUAUACAUCACACACUUGAAAUGCAAUCGUGAGGAUUCACGGAGUUCUGUGAGACUCAGCAUAGUGCUGGGGCGCUGGUCAGCAAGCUGGUGGAACGGUGAGGAGCGAAUCCCGUUCCACGACGAGGAUCUUGAGUUGCCUCUGGCUUUCCUCACCCCGUCAAACCGAUCAGCGUUUUGCGGCUGCUCCGUUUCUUCUUCUGUGCAGUCUUGGAGCGACUGUACAAACAGAGAGCCUAAGAGCAAGUUGGGAGCGGGGCUCGGACAGGUUGCCCUCGUACAGCGUACAGCUGGGUGGUGCGUGUGCUGCUAGGAUGGAGGAGACGACGGCGGCAGGGCCGGGGCGGUGCUGGACACGUGCGGGAGCCGCCCCGGUCCCCCGUCACCGGGCACACGGGAGCAUCAGGCGCUCUGGUCCACCUGGAGCACUGCAGGCUGCUCUGGCUCCUCAUCCGACCGCUCGGCGCCCUCAGAGGCUAGCAGGUAGCCCCCCUCGUAGCGAACCUUCUGGGCCUGUUCCAGGGCCACCGACUCCUCUUCUUCGUCCUCCCUAGCCGUCAGGUCAGCGUCGCCCUCCAGGCCCGCGUUGGCCCCUCUGGAGGCCGGCCUCCCUGCCUCCCCGCCCUCGCUCUUCCCCUCCGCCGGGGCGCUGGCGAGGGACGUUUGGGAAAGGCCCUUGGCCAAGGAGCUCUGCUCCUGCUCCCCGGCUACCUGGUCACUGCUCCGCGUGGCUUCCCACCUGCUCUCAUUUUCCGCGGGGCUCUCGCCCUCCCGGACUUUCUUUCGAACGAAGGUGAGGGGAGAGACCUUGAAGGGGGACCUCUUCCCUGAGGAUAUCUUCUGGUGAUUGGAAGCGAGGGACUUCUUAAUCUUCUCUCUCCUCUCUACGGAUACGAUCUUUGUCCCCAGCUUGUUCAUUUUCUUCUCGAUGUUCUGGCGAGAAAAUGCUUUCUUGAGGCUGUCUACCUUCUGGAGGCCAGACCUUUUCAUUUUCUCGGCCCUACUUUCUUCCAUCGCUUCCUCCGAGCUGUCUUGCAGGGCCUCCUCGUCGUGGGGCGAGUCGUCACCCGAGGAGAGGUCCACCGUGUGCAAGGUUUCCUCCAGGGACUGGUUGUCCUCGGCAAGCUCCUCCUCGCCUUCCGCCGGCCUGGAAGCUGGCUCUUUCACAAACACGCCGGCAGGGAUCUCAUUUUCUUCCUGAAAAGAUGGACAACGUGGGUUUCAGGUUAAUAACAGGUUUCACAAAUGGGCCUGAGCUGCUGCAACUGGCGGCAAGUCUCUUUCUGGCACGGGGGGCAUGACAAGAAACCAAACGUCUGUGGCUUCAGUUUUCUGGAAUACGAAGAGUUAAUGCUAAACCGGUCAGGUCAUUCCCCGGGGCUGGGGAACAGCCUGCGGCCGCUGGCAAGGCCUCGAUCAGCCACAGGCAGGCGGAAGUGCGCUGUGGUCCUCAUAGACCAGGAGGUUGCUUAGAUAAAGGAGCUAAAGUAAGUCACUGGGAACCCAACGGCCUCGGUCCUAACGUCCCUCAAGGUCAAAUGGCUCUGUUCCUGCCAAAACCCCACUGCAAAAGAGCCUGGUGGCCGAGUCAGAAGAUAAAAAGAUGGUGGCAAGGGAGAGGCUUGGACAGUCCUCACGCAUCAGACACCACGCGGAGCCUUGGUGGGUUCCUCGCCCGGCCAGGGCUCAGGAAGGAAAGCUCGGCCCACCUCGGUCUCUGCUCAAAACCGCACACUCAUUUUUCUGAUGAUGUGACUUCGGAGUAAGAGACGCCCGGGCCAGCCCCACGGGGGGCCCCAAGCCGCCGACGCCUUGAGGUCUAGGAUGCCCUUUGUGGGCCCUGAUAAGGAGACGUGGCCUGUCGUGGCCACUCUCCGUGCGGUGAGCAGCAACCCUGAAGUAGCUCAUCCGGGCCCUGUUGCCGGCCACGGGGGCUUCCCUGGACAGGAAUACUUUGCGCCCCGACCUAGAGCAUGGAGUGACGGGGGCUCGGCAGGCGGCCCCUCCCCUGCGCUGUUGCCACACGCCUCUUCCUCGAGCUCCUGGAUGCACAGGCGAGGGUGCGUCCCGCCCUGCGUCCCGCCCUGCGUCCCAGGGAGCAGAGCCCCAGACCUUGGCUCCAGCGCGCGAGGGCAAUGGUGCCCCAGCACGGCCGGGGGUCAGGUGUCGAUGCAGACCUGGCCGCGCAGCAUAGGAAUCCCUUUCGUUUUUUAAAGUCUUCUUCGAAUGCUGGGUAAUGAGAGCCAGCCGGCAAGGCGGCCUCACCUUUUCACGCAAAGAAGUGGCACGGGAGAAAGAACGUGGGACGGGGUCUUGGCCGCGCUGCGGAAUGGCUGUGUGGCUUUCAGCAAAUGACUUAAUCUCCGUGGGUCUCAGUUUCUUCCAAAUACGAACAAGAGAGUUUGACCCGGAUUAGCAGCCUUCAGACUGCACUCCCAGGGGCGCUCGGGGUCCUGCGGGGAGGCCCAGGCGGGCCAGGCUUCAGAGCCUACCCCCACCCUGGCCUCAACCACAGCUUCCGUGUCCGGAUCAUGUUGUGGACUAACCCUCAGGCUGAGAAGUGACCAGAUUUUGUGCAUUUAAAAGUCUAUCUGGGGUCCACACUUCAUGUAAAGGUCAUGGUAACAGCAACAAUUCCCCUUCAUCUUGCAAUUUUGAUUGACCGAAAAGUAACACUGGGGUUAUGAUCAAACGCAUGCAUAUUUUUUCGCUUUGUGCUUACAAAAACGAAAUGAACGAAGUUCGAUAUAGGGAAACGUCAAAGUCCCUCUCCUGAUGAACCACUGAACGGUCGAACGGUCAUACUCUGCGAAGACGCAGCCCCGGGGCUCCCCCUCACACACACAUACUCCUACCACAGUCCUUUCCGUAGAUUGGUUGGAAAUGAAAGAUGAAGUCUUGGGUAGAGGUAAACGGCAGAAAAUCUGGUCAAAUAGACUCUCUCUUAGAGUAAAGAGAUUACAGAUUCUGUUUCCCAAAUCUCUCUCCACAACCGCCAAUUUCGAAUGUCAUAGGAAGUGAGUCAGGAACACAGGGUAAGAGACAAAGUAAAACAAUGGAAAAGAGGGAUCCCUGGGUGGCUCAGCGGUUUGGCGCCUGUCUUUGGCCCAGGGCGUGAUCCUGGAGACCCGGGAUCGAAUCCCACGUCGGGCUCCCGGUGCAUGUAGUCUGCCUCUCUCUCUCUCUCUCUCUCUGUGACUAUCAUAAAUAAAUAAAAAUUAAAAAAAAAAAAAACA
rnacentral:lncRNA from 12 species